GAAACUGCGAAUGGCUCAUUAAAUCAGUUAUGGUUUAUUUGAUGGUACCUUACUACUUGGAUAACCGUAGUAAUUNUAGAGCUAAUACAUGCAGGAAAGCCCGCCAGGGCUGUAUUUAUUAGAUAAGAAACCAAUCCAGCUUGCUGGUUGAGUGCUGAGUCACAAUAACUGCUCGAAUCGCAUGGCUUUUGCCGGCGAUGGUUCAUUCAAAUUUCUGCCCUAUCAGCUUUCGAUGGUAGGAUAGAGGCCUACCAUGGCGUUAACGGGUAACGGAGAAUUAGGGUUCGAUUCCGGAGAGGGAGCCUGAGAAAUGGCUACCACAUCCAAGGAAGGCAGCAGGCGCGUAAAUUGCCCGAAUCCUGACACAGGGAGGUAGUGACAAGAAAUAACAAUACAGGGCUCUUUCGAGUCUUGUAAUUGGAAUGAGUACAAUUUACAUCUCUUCACGAGGAUCAAUUGGAGGGCAAGUCUGGUGCCAGCAGCCGCGGUAAUUCCAGCUCCAAUAGCGUAUAUUAAAGUUGUUGCAGUUAAAACGCUCGUAGUCGGAUUUCGGGGCGGUUUUGCCGGUCUGCCGUUGGGUAUGCACUGGUGCGAGCGUCCUUCCUUCCGGAGACGGCGCCUGCUCUUAACUGAGUGGGUGUCGGAGACGGAUCGUUUACUUUGAAAAAAUCAGAGUGUUUCAAGCAGGCAGCUCGCUUUUGCAUGGAUUAGCAUGGGAUAAUGAAAUAGGACUUUGGUGCUAUUUUGUUGGUUUCGAACACCGAAGUAAUGAUUAACAGGGACAGUCAGGGGCACUCGUAUUCCGCCGAGAGAGGUGAAAUUCUCAGACCAGCGGAAGACGAACCACUGCGAAAGCAUUUGCCAGGGAUGUUUUCACUGAUCAAGAACGAAAGUUAGGGGAUCGAAGACGAUCAGAUACCGUCGUA
rnacentral:rRNA from 1 species